GCUGCCUUGCGCAUUCUUUUCGAAUUGCUGGACAGCCUGGGGACCAAGGCAGAAAUCUUUACAUCGAAACGGGGGCCAAUCACAGAGCGAGGAGGCACGAAAGACGAUGACGCGUACUACUCGACAAACGGAAGUUAGUUGCUAGUAGUUUUUUCGCGAAUCCAUCAUGGCGGCAGCCGAAGCGAAGCUCUGGACAGUGUUUUGAAUAGUUUGGAACGUAAUUUCGCUUUGAAAAACGAACAGCGCUUAGCGUUAGAGUCGUUUGUCAGCGGAAAGGAAGAUGUGUUAGCCUUACUACCGACUGGAUUUGGUAAAAGUCUGAUUUACCAACUCGCUCCGUUGGUUACUAAGGUAAUGGGGGUUAGCGAGACCCCGGUCGUUGCUGUGGUUUCGCCAUUAAUAGCAUUGGUGGAGGACCAAAUAAAGGACGCAGUCGACCUUGGAAUAUCUGCAACACAGCUGGGUCAAGACGAUGAAACGGCGAUUGAGAGAUGAUGCCGUUAUAAGAUUCUGUUUGGCAGUCCCGAGGCCUGGCUGAGCGCGAAGUGGGAGGACAUGCUAGCCACCGAUGUAUACAAGACCAACCUGAUCGGCGUAGUUGUCGAUGAAGUCCAUCUUACUUAUAUAAAUGGAGGAAGGCUGAGAAAGGACGGAAGGCUUUUAGGGAAAGCUUUGCGAGGUUGGGGAACUGAGAGCUAUCGUGAAACCAGAAACACCGGUACUGGCAUUGACUGUGUCUGCGGAAUUGCACUCAAGAGAAAUUGUCAGGAGACCGCUCCAACUCCAAAACCCAGUUGACAUCAUUGCCAGCCCCAAUCGACCCAACAUCAGACUCUCCAUAAGACGACUUUCGAGUGAGUCACUGGACUGUUUCGACUGGCUCGUGAAGGACUUGAAAGAGAAAGGAGUGGAGAUGUCACCAGUCAAUAUAUACUGCCGGACAAUAAACACGAGGGAGAAAACGAUGCUUAAAGAAAGUCUAAAUGGCUGCUUUAGGAAAGCCCUGUAUGUACAUUUUGAGCCGCACGUGUCCAGUGUGGAGCCUGGCCAUUCCUGCUGCACCUAUUGCCACUCAUUAUGCAAGUGUAACUCUGACUGUUGCUCUGUGCCAAAACCCAACUUUGAAAUACCCAAACAAAUCCCGUCACCUGUCAAAUGCAGAAAUGUCACAUUGGAAGAGCAGGGACUGGUCAGACAGCUUUUGGAGGAGUAUAGGGAUAGCCUGAUUGCACCAGGUGAACACCUUUACACAAAUGCCUCAUUCUGCACUGGUUUCAGCAAUGUACUAAUUUACUCAGUUUUGGAAAGUCUUUGUGAUAUUUGACAUGACUUAUGUCAUGCAGAAUCUCCCUGUAUUUGACAUAAAACAUGGCCAGGACAUCCUACGCAUUGUUCACAAAGUAUUUAAAGAUUUUGAUGUGUGUGUGAAUUCCCUGACAUUCCUGAAAAAAACAUACCUGUCACCAGACAUGGACUUUCCAGUGUAUUUUGAUGUGGAUGAGGAUGCUGAAACCUCUCUAAGCAGCAUUGAGUCAGGCUUAUCCAUGCUUCCAUUAUCAGAUUAAGUACAGAGCCACUGUAAAUAAUUGUAAAUAACUGCACACUUGUAUAUAUUGUAAAUAUCAUUCUGAAUAAAUACUUUUUACAUUUUUAAACUACAUGUUGUAAUGUGUUCCCUGAAAACUAAUGAAGAGACAGCUUGGUAAAGGAAAUGAUUUUAAUGAAGGACAAUGACUUAGAAUAACAAACAAGAAUAACAAACUAUUUCAAAGCAAGAAAAUAGAAAAGUAAUUAAGUAAAACUUAUUUUAAUAAUUUUGGCAUUCACCUUUUUGAAGACGCCGUACCAACAUUGACGGUCGCCUGUAAGGCAGCAUUGGUGUUACCUGGCUAGACAAACAGUACAAAUAACUCAAAGGACACUGCACCAUUCAUUCAGUUUGCUGCUCAUCCACGUCCACAGUGCCUUGUGAUCGAGCUUUGCCAACAAGUCAUUUCGGAAGCCAGGGAAUGCAGUAGAUGUGCGACCUGGUUUCUGUUUAAAAAGUUCUGCCUCUUGCAGUGUGUCCACCAAGGUGAGGAUGUCUUGUCAUGUCCACAUGGUGAGCUCCACUUGGUCUUGUUAUGCCCAGCUCCUUGUCAGUGC